rnacentral:rRNA from 1 species
UUUAUUUGAGAGUUUGAUCCUGGCUCAGGAUGAACGCUGGCGGCGUGCCUAACACAUGCAAGUUGAGCGAUUUACUUCGGUAAAGAGCGGCGGACGGGUGAGUAACGCGUGGGUAACCUACCCUGUACACACGGAUAACAUACCGAAAGGUAUGCUAAUACGGGAUAAUAUAUUUGAGAGGCAUCUCUUGAAUAUCAAAGGUGAGCCAGUACAGGAUGGACCCGCGUCUGAUUAGCUAGUUGGUAAGGUAACGGCUUACCAAGGCGACGAUCAGUAGCCGACCUGAGAGGGUGAUCGGCCACAU